UACAGAGGUCCCAAGCGUUGUUCGGAUUCAUUGGGCGUAAAGGGUGCGUAGGCGGCGCGGUAAGUCGGGUGUGAAAUCUCGGAGCUUAACUCCGAAACUGCAUUCGAUACUGCCGUGCUUGAGGACUGGAGAGGAGACUGGAAUUUACGGUGUAGCGGUGAAAUGCGUAGAUAUCGUGAGGAAGACCAGUGGCGAAGGCGGGUCUCUGGACAGUUCCUGACGCUGAGGCACGAAGGUCAGGGGAGCAAACGGG
rnacentral:rRNA from 1 species